rnacentral:misc_RNA from 1 species
AAGUCGUAACAAGGUUUCCGUAGGUGAACCUGCGGAAGGAUCAUUAACACGUAUCCACGUAUCAACCAAUGAGAACCUGUUUUCCCGUCUCCCUGUGCAAAGAAUGAAUUGGAACCAGUUUGAGGGAGUGAUGGGACCGAAAGGUCGGCCUUCCUGGUAUACUUACGUCGACAGAAAUGUUUGCGUAGACAAUUGUAUUUUUGUUACAGGCUAUUUCUUAUCGCUUUGAUCCCCAUCAUGAUCGUGGCGGUAGGGAAACUUUCACUAAAUUUACCUUUUUUGCUAGUUGACUUUUUAUAUGUGUUGUCUUGCGAAAGCAUGGUGGCACACGUUUAUUAAUUGAACGUUAAAAAAUACAACUCUUAGCAAUGGAUAUCUUGGUUCUC